GCAUCUGAUUGGCUAGUUCUAAUACCGGAUAUUGUUUUCAUACCAUGUUUUUAUGGUAUCCGGUUAUGGAUUUGGCCAGAGCCCCUCGUCGCGCUGCGUUGACCGCGCGUUAGAAGGGCUCUGGGUACGAGAAUGGCGCUCUCCAUGCGAGAAGAGGAACCCUGAAUAAAAACAGAUGGAUUCAAAUUUUAUCAAACUGCUGUCAUCUUAAAUUAAAUUACCAAUAGCAAUGUCAUCUUAAUUAACUAUACAUGAAAUCCUCAUUUUAGCGUGAUUUUCUUGUUUGUUUGUUUUUAUUUCUGUCACUAAAAAUGCGCAAUAAUAACACAUUGUCUGAAGUUAAAUUACAGGGUUUUUUUAUUAAAUAUAAAAAACUGAACAAAUUUGCUCUUUAAUUAGUGCUAUUUCUUGCACUUAAACUUGCACGGUCCUCCAUCCAGCGACUUAACGCUCCGUGUAGCGUUUUGUUUAGGAAAAAAAGGAAUGGUUAUAGGUAUAUAUAUAUAUAUAGUUAUAAAAAUGAAUAGUUAUACGACCUUUGCAAUGCUAGCUCAAUGCUCUGUCAACUGAGCUACGCUGUCUGUGUUGGGAAAAUCCCCCCCCCCCCGUUUACAAAAUUUAAGUCGAGAAAUUUUUUUCAUUCUACAUUAUAAGUACCCAAAGAAACUAUGUAGAUCAAAACUGGAUACUAAUAGCAGUUUUGCGAAAUUGACAGCGAAAUUCAGUUUUUCCUGUAUAUUUGCCUUUCCUGCAUGAAUAUGAAAUUGGAUAGUUUAAAAGUGCAUGGCACAUCAUAUCAUGCGACGCAAAUGAGUAGCAAACAUGAUCAAAAUUCUUCCAGCUUUCAGAUAGCUACUGACAAAUGAGUAGCUACAUAAUUAAGUUCUUGUACACACAUUAAUCUCAUAUUAUAAGUAGAUAUUAAAAAUAUUAGCAUUUAGGCGCACCAGAUAUGACCUACAUUUACAUUAAUAUUACUUAUUCCAACCUCUCACCCCAGGGACAACAAGCUAGCUUCCAUUGUAUGAUUAAGUUAAAGAAAAUCAAUUUAACUGGAAAAUAUUCAAAAAAUGUAUAAAUUCUUGCCAUGUAUAGUAUUCCGACAGUAUUUUGCUUCGGAAUAUUUGGUGUAGUUUAUUCCGACGUAUUCUGCGCAGAUUACUACGAGUAUUCCGGAAAUAUUCGAGCGAAUACCUCAGAAUAUCCCCGAAUAUUACUAAUAUUCCUAACAAUAUUAAAUACCGAGGUAUAGAGGUCGGAUUAUUUGAUUUUUCGCCCAGUGUAGUAUCUAUUGUAGUCGUGUCCUCAUUAGUAUUCUUUAUAUAAAGAAUACUAAUAAGGCAGUAUAUCUAUUGAAUUUGUAGUCGUGUUUGAAGCCGUUUAAUAAACUCGCAGGUCGUGUUUUAUUAGGUCUAAAGCUACUCGCGCUGCGCGCUGGUGGCUUUAAACCUAAUAAAACACUCCUGCUCGUUUAUUAAACAAUAGUUUUUAAAACUUUUUUAAUAAUUAUUUUUUUGAGAAAUUUGGAAAAUCUCCCCACCCCCGCGUGACCAGUCUGUCGUUUAGUGCCAUUACAUUUAUAACAAGAAGUCUUGUCUAAUGCUUGUGGUUUUAUGAUUAACUCUAUUGAUAAAUUCAAAAUGUGCCGCGAAUUUAUCAUAAUGAUCAAUUCGGGCGUGUUUAAGAAUUUACUCAGAUAUAAUAAAUUCAAAGGUGCAGCUCAUGUUGUCAAUAAAAUAGGUUUCGUUAUGGCAAACAGUAUACGUAGCAGUAACAGAAACAAGAAUUUAAUAUAUAUAUAUGUCUGUAUCUAUUGUUAUUAUUAUUAUAAAUUUCCAAACUAGCAGUAACAACUGAAUUACUUUGGAAUUACAGGGUAUAAGAACAUAGGUAUUCAAUCUAUUCUAU
rnacentral:lncRNA from 1 species